UCAUGAUUUGUUGAAGCUGUAUGUUGUUUAAAUAAAUUUUCCCAUGUUGGUCAAUGUUUGCCAGAAUCAUAAUAUUUUUUCACAAAGUCAGCAUGGCAUUCUCACAUUAAUAAAGUUUGUGAGUGUGGUGGUAUCUUUAGUCCAUUAAACCCCCCUCCCCUUGCUAUACACACCUGCCUAUAAGACAUUAUAAUUUGAAAAUGGAAACAAUAUAGUUCCACUAUUCAGUUAUAGCAUUUUAUUUCUUAUUAUUUAUAUGAUAAGCUAAGUAAAGUAAAGCAUACCAAGUUAUGAAGCAUCAAACGACUUUAACAAC